AUUAAUUGUGUUUUUUUAGUCUAUGGUGUUACGUGUAAUGUAUAUGUAUGAACAUUCACAGGAUUAAUGUGAAUAAUCGUAAACAAGUUUUAAUUAUUUAUUAAUAAUUAUGGCGCAAACCAUGCCUGGGGAUGAUUCAUGGAAGACGCAGAGCUUUCGACAGAGCCUAAUCGCGAAAAUGAUGUCUCUGAAUGGUUUGUACAAACUUUCAAGAUAUGUUCAGGGACCGAAAUAAGCAAAAUAUGUCUUAUAAACAUGGGGUCAAAAAUGCUUUUUUCUAGAGUUAUGAUUGUUUGAAGUUUUCUUGCAAUACAAGAAAUUAUCACAUUAAAUUAUAUAGGAGUUGUAAAUUGUAUUUAUAUUUAUUUCUACAGAUAUGACAGUACUAAUGUCUUGUUACUUGCUAUACCAAAUGCUCAAAUUGGCCUUUGCUUGAUUCCAAGAAAGGAUUCCAUGACUAUAACAACAUUUCACCGUAAUUAAAAAUAUACCACGUUGUGAAAUUAUAACUAUA